rnacentral:lncRNA from 1 species
UCUCAACUUAGAGUCUUAGGUAGUAGCUCACAAUGGCAGGCACUAAGCUAGUAGCACUUGGGUUCAUUGUCCUCAUGAGCAUGGGGAUAGCUAAUGCCGUGAGGGUGGCUAGAUACUCUAGUGCUGAUGGAACGGGUACAGGAGGUGGUUGGGGUGGUGGGUAUGUGAAUGGUGGUGGCUCAGGGUCAGGGAGUGGCACUGGGGCUGGUGAGAGUGGUUCAAAUGGUGCCCAUGCAACUGCUGGAGGGGGUGGUGGAGGGGGCGGCACUAGCCAAUACAACGGGUCUGGUUAUGGUGGAGGGGCUGGGUCAGGUACAGGUUCUAGUCAAAAUAGUCAGGGUGGAGGAUCGGGCGGUUAUGGAGAAUCUUCCAACGCUGGUGGUACUGGUGGUGGCGGUGGUGGAGGACAUGGUGGUGGUAACUGGGGAUCUAGUGCUCAUGGGGAAGGUAGCGGCACUGGAUCUGGCUCGAGCAAUGCUAAUAGGUACUGGUAUGGACCAAGUGAUGCAAAUGCAUACGCUAAUGGCAAUGGCCGUGGCCAAGGCAAUGGUGUGAACGGUGGAAGUGCUGGUGGUCAAGGAGGUGGAUCUGGGUACGGUAAUGCCAACCCCUAGUUCAUGUUAUUGCCUGGUCAAUCUAAGUGUG